AGACAUGGUGGACGCGGGUCGAGGUGCAGUAUCUGUUUUUAUCGGCUUGAUAUCUGAUACGAGUUGUAUUCGGACCCAAGUUAUUAAGCUUGUUUUUGCAAGUUGUCGGAGUGCUUGAUGCCUGCUCCACCUACGCCGCGAAUCAGCCCGGUAUUGCACUAUCUUCGGGAUCGGCCCACGUUCU